rnacentral:lncRNA from 1 species
GCAAAACAUAGACUGAGUAUCUUGCUCGUACUUUUUGAAUGGAAUCUGUCUUCAUGUAACUGAGAUAGGAAAUAAAAUACACCACAAGUUUUUAGAAGCAAUGGAAGAAAGAAAAGAGGUGGCAGCAGCAUAAUUCUGCCUGAAGGUUCAGGUAUUUUACAGGCCUCCCAUGUGACACAGAGACAGUAAGUUGCUAGAAUGGAAGAAGUAAGUGCUCUGCACCUCUGCUGUAAUUAAGGUGAUUUUUAUAGGCAUCAUUGGAUAUCUCCUUGGAGACAUUCAAAGUCAGGCUGCAUGGGGAUCUGAGCAACCUGGUCUAGCUGUUGGUGACCCUGUUCAUUGCAGGGGAGUUGGAAUAGAUGACCUUUAAGGGCCCCUUCUAACUCAAACGAUUCUAUGAUUCUGUGCUGAAACUACUGGGAGAACACAUAAGGCGACAACUGCUUUACGCAUGCCCCCAUGCUCUCUCCUGGAUGCAGGGAUCAUUUUCCUUCACUGCAGUGAUGCUGAUGAACAGCAGAGCAGCAGAGCACAGGCACGGAGCACCAGACUCAUGGGCUCAGAGCACAGGUUGGGAACUUGCAGAUGUGCUGUGUGCCCCUUCCAGUUUGCUUGCUUCCUUUCCCAUGGGGACCAACCUUUGGAAGAGGGGUGGAAGACUGGCAAGUACCUAUGUCUCUUCUCAACAGAGAGUCAUGAAUCUGGAAAACUUUCCCAACUCCCACUCUUUACCUCUAGCAGUUACUGUCUGAUCCGUGUAAGCCCCAUGUCACUGCUCGCAUUCCUCAGGUUUUGGUCUCGUCUACCGUACACAAACAAGAAACUUAAAUGAUAACAGAAGAACUCCUGAAGAUCAUUCUCCAAGUGGUUCCUGUCUUCCCUGGGGUCUCCCUUGCCAUCAUUCAACGAUGACUCCAACAGCUGCAGAUGUUACAUGCAGUUCGUAUAAAACUGGAAUUAACAAGAUGCACUUCUUAUUCUAAUGUGAAGAAACAUUUCCCUAGAUUCCAGGAGCAUCCAUAACAUGAGCUAAAAUAUGAGUGUAACACAGCAGAGAAGAAGCCACAUUGAAGUGCAAUGAAAACUGAGAGAUCCUUUGUUGUUUGGACUCACCGGGACUCAUACAGCUGCCUCUGUCUCACCUUCCUGAACUUCACCUCUGUUCUCUUGAAAGAUCACUUGUUCUGGCUCUCCUGUCAAGUCUGUGUGAUGUGAUUUAAAAUCUAUAAAUUCCUGCCGGUGCUUGACUGUAGUUUUUAAAUCAGCUCUGAAAGUCUUUUGGAAAUAAGAAUUUCACUGACAUCAUAACCUGUGGUUAAUUUAUUAAAUGGUGUGCUGAGAAAUCUUACAGAAUGUAAAAUGAACAAUUUAGUUAACAAGAGUUUAGACUAUAUCAUAUGAAUUAGCAGUUCAUAAAAAGUGCGAAGGUAUACGAU